CAAGAAACGAGGCUACGUGCCCCGCUCUUUACCUGCCUACUGCACUAUCUGUUGCUUCCUGGCGGUGGUUUGCCUGCCGCCAGGGACAUUGUAAAGCCCUGUAUAAGCAUUAAAAAACUGAAACAAACCGAAUCGUA
rnacentral:misc_RNA from 1 species